CUUCUUCUUUUACCCGAACCCCUCUAAAAAAACCAAAAAACCAGUCUUCAUCUCCAUCUCCAUCUCCAUCUCCAUCUCCAACGAUUUCAGCUAAGUUUUACUGCCAUUGAAAAGAUGUUGAUUUAAACUGUAUCAAUAUCAUCACCGCUUUUCAUCUCUAUCAAUCUGGAUUUCAUGCAACUGAAGAUGAUGGUUAAUCGGUGAUUAUGGUGAUGAUUUGUUGGAUUCUCUCUGUCUUAGAUUAGGAAGAUCUGUGGUGUAUUGAUAUUUGCAGUAAGAACUGUGGUGUAUUGGUUGGUAGAUAGUGGAAUGCAAUUGGGAAGGAUACGAUUUUUCUGGGAGGCCUGUAUCUAAAACUAAAGCUAAAAAACCCAAGGAACGUAAGUACACAUCCAAGGACGGUGAUGAUGCAAUAAUGCCUUAUGCAAUCGAGGGCAUGAGUGAACGGGGAGUCCAGAUUAUGGAUUGUAUAUGUGAUGAGCAUGUGAACUUGGCAUCCCUCAAAGUCGGUGCUACACUAUAUAACCAUCACAGAAAUUAAAUCCUAACCUGACGUGAUCGUUGGCAUUCCAGAUUCUGGUAUAUGGCCUGAGUCAGAGAGCUUUAAUGAGGAAGGAUUAGGUCCUGUUCCUAAGAGAACUGCAAUAGGUUGCUGGUGAUCAGUUCACAUUCAAGAUCUGCAUUUGCAGGGAAAUAUUUGGUGCUCGUUUCUACUCUACUCUAAAGUAAUUGAAGAUGGACCACUUUAGAGUCCUUUGACAAAACCAUUGUGCGGUCACAUUGUGACAACAAUGGCCAUGGACCAGCGUGAUCCACAAUAGUUAAUAAUGUAAUGAGAAAGAAGAGAGCUGAUAUAACUGAUAUUCACCAAAAAAAUGUUUGUGCAGUUAUAUACUCCAUUAUGGCAUGCAGCUGCUCCAAAUUGGAUCAGUUAACUAUACUUGACAAAGAAGGAAUGGGAUUUUUUUCCUUCGGAAACGUCUCUGGAAUGCAUGGUGAAGUUCUCUGAUUACUUUCUUGUUGCUGUAUCCCCUGGAAAUCGAAUUAAGGUUACAAUAAGCACUGGAGUUAUUCAAAGAAAUAAUAACCAAAAGCAUUGCGAGAUAACUGAGACGAAUUGUCCGUGUGCAGACUUGGUUGAGGCGUUUAUCAAGAUAAUAGAGGAGAAGGCUGACAAAAUUGAUAGGGUAGAUCAUUUGGAAAUAUGGAUGCACUCCACCGCCAGCGAGCAAUCUAUGAACUACAAUCUGUGAACUACUUGGCUCAACUUGGGUUUACAUACGAAGGCAAAAGGCUUGAUGGUGAGGCACAUGCUGUCAUGAGAUGGCUCCUAAGUCUCUGGGAUGGUAAUUUGUCUCACCUAUGUACAAUAUACCAGUGCUACUCUCUUUUUCUCCCAUAUAUUUUUCUAGUUAUGUUGUUAGUAAUCCUUAUUGAUCUUUUAACAGUAAGUGGAUUAUGGAGGAUCCGAGUGUUCAUUUUUUAUUGUUGGACAGGUUAUGCGUCAUAUUAAGGGGCUGCAUUAAUUUGAGGAGCAUAGCUCAUUGUGUUAGCUUUGAAUUGUUUUGGGUUAAAUUACAUAACAAAUAGAACGAUUCUGUUGUACUUGUGUUCAGAAUGAAUGUAUGAACGGUAAAUGCGGAUUAUUCUUUUUUUGAGAAUGUAUGAACUGCAGAUUGAAAAAUAAGAAAUUGCAGGCCUGUGUCCAGGUUUA